rnacentral:rRNA from 1 species
GACGAACGCUGGCAGCGUGCCUAAUACAUGCAAGUUGAGCGCUGAAGGUUGGUACUUGUACCAACUGGAUGAGCAGCGAACGGGUGAGUAACGCGUGGGGAAUCUGCCUUUGAGCGGGGGACAACAUUUGGAAACGAAUGCUAAUACCGCAUAAAAACUUUAAACACAAGUUUUAAGUUUGAAAGAUGCAAUUGCAUCACUCAAAGAUGAUCCCGCGUUGUAUUAGCUAGUUGGUGAGGUAAAGGCUCACCAAGGCGAUGAUACAUAGCCGACCUGAGAGGGUGAUCGGCCACAUUGGGACUGAGACACGGCCCAAACUCCUACGGGAGGCAGCAGUAGGGAAUCUUCGGCAAUGGACGAAAGUCUGACCGAGCAACGCCGCGUGAGUGAAGAAGGUUUUCGGAUCGUAAAACUCUGUUGGUAGAGAAGAACGUUGGUGAGAGUGGAAAGCUCAUCAGGUGACGGUAACUACCCAGAAAGGGACGGCUAACUACGUG